AGAGUUUGAAUCUGGCUCAGGAUGAACGCUGGCGGCGUGCCUAAUACAUGCAAGUCGAACGCACAGCGAAAGGUGCUUGCACCUUUCAAGUGAGUGGCGAACGGGUGAGUAACACGUGGACAACCUGCCUCAAGGCUGGGGAUAACAUUUGGAAACAGAUGCUAAUACCGAAUAAAACUUAGUGUCGCAUGACACAAAGUUAAAAGGCGCUUCGGCGUCACCUAGAGAUGGAUCCGCGGUGCAUUAGUUAGUUGGUGGGGUAAAGGCCUACCAAGACAAUGAUGCAUAGCCGAGUUGAGAGACUGAUCGGCCACAUUGGGACUGAGACACGGCCCAAACUCCUACGGGAGGCUGCAGUAGGGAAUCUUCCACAAUGGGCGAAAGCCUGAUGGAGCAACGCCGCGUGUGUGAUGAAGGCUUUCGGGUCGUAAAGCACUGUUGUAUGGGAAGAACAGCUAGAAUAGGAAAUGAUUUUAGUUUGACGGUACCAUACCAGAAAGGGACGGCUAAAUACGUGCCAGCAGCCGCGGUAAUACGUAUGUCCCGAGCGUUAUCCGGAUUUAUUGGGCGUAAAGCGAGCGCAGACGGUUUAUUAAGUCUGAUGUGAAAGCCCGGAGCUCAACUCCGGAAUGGCAUUGGAAACUGGUUAACUUGAGUGCAGUAGAGGUAAGUGGAACUCCAUGUGUAGCGGUGGAAUGCGUAGAUAUAUGGAAGAACACCAGUGGCGAAGGCGGCUUACUGGACUGCAACUGACGUUGAGGCUCGAAAGUGUGGGUAGCAAACAGGAUUAGAUACCCUGGUAGUCCACACCGUAAACGAUGAACACUAGGUGUUAGGAGGUUUCCGCCUCUUAGUGCCGAAGCUAACGCAUUAAGUGUUCCGCCUGGGGAGUACGACCGCAAGGUUGAAACUCAAAGGAAUUGACGGGGACCCGCACAAGCGGUGGAGCAUGUGGUUUAAUUCGAAGCAACGCGAAGAACCUUACCAGGUCUUGACAUCCUUUGAAGCUUUUAGAGAUAGAAGUGUUCUCUUCGGAGACAAAGUGACAGGUGGUGCAUGGUCGUCGUCAGCUCGUGUCGUGAGAUGUUGGGUUAAGUCCCGCAACGAGCGCAACCCUUAUUGUUAGUUGCCAGCAUUCAGAUGGGCACUCUAGCGAGACUGCCGGUGACAAACCGGAGGAAGGCGGGGACGACGUCAGAUCAUCAUGCCCCUUAUGACCUGGGCUACACACGUGCUACAAUGGCGUAUACAACGAGUUGCCAACCCGCGAGGGUGAGCUAAUCUCUUAAAGUACGUCUCAGUUCGGAUUGUAGUCUGCAACUCGACUACAUGAAGUCGGAAUCGCUAGUAAUCGCGGAUCAGCACGCCGCGGUGAAUACGUUCCCGGGUCUUGUACACACCGCCCGUCACACCAUGGGAGUUUGUAAUGCCCAAAGCCGGUGGCCUAACCUUUUAGGAAGGAGCCGUCUAAGGCAGGACAGAUGACUGGGGUGA
rnacentral:rRNA from 1 species